rnacentral:sRNA from 1 species
GUUUCUUACAUUGAUCCAAAAUCUGCAGCUUCCACCCAUUAUUUCUACUUCUAUUCUGUGAAGCCAUUCACAAAAAGCCUAAUAUAUUUUCCACAAAUAUUUGAAAUCAACUCUCAUAUCCUCCACUUUAUAACAUCUCUAGGCUGAAUGUCUUUAAUUCCA